AGAAAGUCUUAACAAGGAAAAAAGAACUACAAUGAGGCACACUAUGCCACCUACCUUGAACUGCUUCAAGAAGACAAGUCCAGUUCGAAGAAUCUGCCCACGGCUUCACAAGUCUUUCGGCAUGGGGAGUGCCUCGGAAGAUAGCUCUAAAAGAAAUUCUUCAGAUCCAUCACUGACAAUCUUCUCCUCUCAAUCAUUCAUGAGUGCAUUCAAAUAUGGCUCUACCUAUUCAAAGAGGAAGGCGUUCUUACAGUGUAUCUUAUCAUGCCUCCCAGGAAGAAGACCAAUAUAAGACCACCAUCAUACCGAGUGGAAAGCUUAACACAACUGUUCCACCAAACUCCCUUCAGGAGGACCAGCCCACAGGACACCUCCAUAAUGUGCUUACAGCUGGAGCAGUGGACAACAGGAACUUACAAGAGAAAUCACCACCAUUCUCUACCACGGCGACCAAGGGUGAGGGUCCUGCUAUAAAAGAAAGAGAGUCC
rnacentral:lncRNA from 1 species